rnacentral:ncRNA from 1 species
GAGAACGAGCUUUUGGUCACCAAGCAUUCACAACGACGUGGCCUUUUGAUUCUUCGAUGCCGGCUUUUCCUAUCAUUGUUAAGCAAAACACCAAAAGUUUUAUGGCUUAACUACUAAUAGGGAACUCUAACUAGGCUUAGGUCAUCGUGAGCCAGUUU